UUUUAUUGCUUAACGUCUAUUAUGUACCUACCUACAAACAAUGUAUUUAAACCAUUAUGUUCCAAUUAACAGAUUCCACUAAUACUGCAUCCCAAUCCAGUACAACCCAGUGGAAGAAUGACCAGAAAUGCAAAAAUAUUUCAAGAAACUAUGGGAUAUCUUCUCGUCGUAGUCAACAUGAGACACAUUCUCUUGAAGGUUCUACCGAAAAGCAAAGAGGGGGUGAUCGGAAAGGAGCAAAAUGUUCAAGAAAACACUUAAUGACUAACUGUAAUAACUGAAAAUGAAGGUUUUUCUAAUAAAGGCAAGUGCCAUACCGUAUUAAUAUAUUUUGUGAUUAUGCAUGUAUUAAUUAAUAAACGUUUUAAAAUUAAAA